rnacentral:rRNA from 1 species
UACGAAGGGUGCAAACGUUGCUCGGAAUCAUUGGGCGUAAAGCGCACGUAGGCGGCUUGCCAAGUCGGACGUGAAAUCCCUCAGCUCAACUGAGGACGUGCAUCCGAAACUGGCGAGCUUGAGUACUGAAGAGGAUCGCGGAAUUCCCGGUGUAGAGGUGAAAUUCGUAGAUAUCGGGAGGAGCACCAGUGGCGAAGGCGGCGAUCUGGGCAGAUACUGACGCUGAGGUGCGAAAGCGUGGGGAGCAAACAGG